rnacentral:RNase_P_RNA from 1 species
GUUCUCUCCGUCCACGGAGGCAGGUUUCUGCCUUCGCACAAAAUGCUCCUGAGAGCGUCCUGGCGCGAAAGCGCCGGGCAGGGCCAUCAGAAAUCAGUCGAGUUUACUUGGCAUGGGAGGCUCUGCGGACGGUUGGUCAUGUGUAUGAACAUGGCUAUUGAGUGCAAUAUGCGAACCUUGAAAAAGGCA